rnacentral:rRNA from 1 species
GAUGAACGCUGGCGGCGUGCCUAAUACAUGCAAGUCGAGCGAACAGACGAGGAGCUUGCUCCUCUGACGUUAGCGGCGGACGGGUGAGUAACACGUGGAUAACCUACCUAUAAGACUGGGAUAACUUCGGGAAACCGGAGCUAAUACCGGAUAAUAUAUUGAACCGCAUGGUUCAAUAGUGAAAGACGGUUUUGCUGUCACUUAUAGAUGGAUCCGCGCCGCAUUAGCUAGUUGGUAAGGUAACGGCUUACCAAGGCAACGAUGCGUAGCCGACCUGAGAGGGUGAUCGGCCACACUGGAACUGAGACACGGUCCAGACUCCUACGGGAGGCAGCAGUAGGGAAUCUUCCGCAAUGGGCGAAAGCCUGACGGAGCAACGCCGCGUGAGUGAAGAAGGUCUUCGGAUCGUAAAACUCUGUUAUUAGGGAAGAACAAAUGUGUAAGUAACUAUGCACGUCUUGACGGUACCUAAUCAGAAAGCCGCGGCUAACUACGUG